GGCCCGGUAGCGGAUGGACCGCGCCUGCAUUCGAUAUGCCCUUUGAAGUCCGGUUUCAGCAGGAUUGCUCGUUCGACACGAGCCCGGGCCA